GAUGAACGCUGGCGGCGUGCCUAAUACAUGCAAGUCGAGCGAACAGACGAGGAGCUUGCUCCUCUGACGUUAGCGGCGGACGGGUGAGUAACACGUGGAUAACCUACCUAUAAGACUUGGAUAACUUCGGGAAACCGGAGCUAAUACCGGAUAAUAUAUUGAACCGCAUGGUUCAAUAGUGAAAGACGGUUUUGCUGUCACUUAUAGAUGGAUCCGCGCCGCAUUAGCUAGUUGGUAAGGUAACGGCUUACCAAGGCAACGAUGCGUAGCCGACCUGAGAGGAUGAUCGGCCACACUGGAACUGAGACACGGUCCAGACUCCUACGGGAGGCAGCAGUAGGGAAUCUUCCGCAAUGGGCGAAAGCCUGACGGAGCAACGCCGCGUGAGUGAUGAAGGUCUUCGGAUCGUAAAACUCUGUUAUUAGGGAAGAACAAAUGUGUAAGUAACUAUGCACGUCUUGACGGUACCUAAUCAGAAAGCAACGGCUAACUACGUG
rnacentral:rRNA from 1 species